GACGAACGCUGGCGGCGUGCUUAACACAUGCAAGUCGAACGGGAUUUAGUAAACGGAAGCCUCGGUGGAAGAUUACUAAUGAGAGUGGCGAACGGGUGAGUAACGCGUUAGCAACCUGCCUAUGACAGUGGGAUAGCCUCGGGAAACCGGGAUUAAUACCGCAUAAAAUCGUAGAAACACAUGUUUCAACGGUCAAAGAUUUAUCGGACAUAGAUGGGCUCGCAUCUGAUUAGCUAGUUGGUGAGAUAACAGCACACCAAGGCGCCGAUCAGUAGCCGGUCAGAGAGGAUGAGCCGACACACUUGAGGUGGGACACGGUAGAGAAUCCUACGGGAUGGAGCAGAGGGGAAUAGUGCACAACGGGGGAAGUCCUGAUGGAGCGACGCCGCGUGAACGAAGAAAGUAGUGGUAUAGUAAAGUUCUGUCAUAUAGGAACAUAUUGACAGUACCAAAGAAGAAAGCUCCGGCUAACUACGUG
rnacentral:rRNA from 1 species